AUAUGCACAGCAGUGAGAUAUUAGGCCGGAGGCCUUCAAGGGGGUAAGAGGAAGCCCCCAGCUUAAGCUGCUCAGGGACAUGUGUCCCUCCCCAGUUAGACUUGAGCAACAAAUAAACCAUCAGAUAAGUCCUUGCCAGAAGGCAGCCUUUGAAGGAGUCAAGAGCAGUCACUUUCCAGGAAAAGAAAAAGUUUUAAGACCCAAAGGAAAAUGCUUGAGUGCAAAAUAUCCAAAUCAGCCUAAAACAGACUGAAGCAUAAACAAAUUCCCAAGAAAGGGCUGAGUGGAGAGCUGACUGACCCAUUAUUUCAAGGCAGUCAGAUUCCCAGACAAGGAAGCCCAGGUGAACUGGACUACAGCCCACUGUUUGUGCCGUCUGAACGAUGAAGCCCUGUAAUGGUUGAAGAUGGAUGGUAUUCCAGACCAUCCAAUGAAACGGAAUGUUGAAAGAUUUGGGACAGACAAAAGUAAGCGGUUCUUCACACAGCACAUAGCUUUGUAUCCAAAGAUGUAUGCCCAGAGUUCCACUCAUGCAAGGGAAUUUCCCUUUUCUCUCCUUUCCCCAUGUAUCCUCAAAUUCUGCUCUGCUUUUUGUUGCACAAGCUAGUGGAACAGCAGCGUUGGAUACAAUCCCAUAGAAUUACUACUAUGGAACUCAUUUACUCAAGAUGAAGCGAUGGCUACCAAUCCGGACUGCUUUAAAAGUUAAUUAGAAAAAUUAAUGGAGGAUAAGGCUAUCAGUGACUCCUAGUAAUUAUGGUACCAGCAAUGUGCUAGAAUUCUGCCCAGUACAGAUCUGGUACUGGAUUUUCCAUUAAUUUGUUUGUUCUGUAUAGUUGCGGAUCAGAUCUCUAUAUAGUGAUUUUCUGUGGCUGUUUUCAAAAAUGGAUUUUUAAAAAUAUGUAUCUAAAAAAUCAAUAUUAAGAAUGAUAAUUGUAUCCAUACUUCUUUUAAAAUAUCAGUAUUUCCUUUAAAAAUAUCCUUAUUAAUAGCAAUUUGUUUUGUGAGAGAAAACCCUUCAACCUAAUUUGGAUUUGAGUUCAUUAUUUGCCCACUAGCCACUGCUUUUACCGAUCCAUUUUUCCCCAAAAACUAAAUAAAAAC